rnacentral:lncRNA from 1 species
AAUUUGAAGUGCCUGACUGGGUGGCCGGGAGACGGAGUCUCGGGGUCGCGUGCACCUGGGCGGCCAGGGAGGCUCCAGUGCCCGGGAGAAAGGCAAGAAAACUGAGGCACAGAGAGAUUGUCACACAGCCAGUAAGGUUUCUUUCAAAAUGAAGAUUCACGCAGUGAUUGUAACUGUCUUGAUGAGCCAGGUUGUAGUUUACAAAGUUUUAUUCCAGAAGGAAAAAAGCCACUUCACCUAGAAAUUUUGCAAACAAAUCAACUUUUACUCUGUGAGUAAUCCAGGGCCUAUCAAGACUACAUUUUAGUUGACUGCAAGGCCUCUGAGGCACGGGAAUUCACAGCUGAGUUCUUGGAGAAGGUCCUUGAGCCAUCUGGAUGGCGGACAGUCUGGCACAUGAUGUGCUCAAGGUGCUGCUUGAGGCCACAGAUGUGGACAUUUCAGCCUUGAAGGCAGUGGUGCAGCUUGCUGAGCCAUACCUCUGUGAAUCUUGAGCGAGUACUUUCACCUUGGAGUGUGUGAAAGAGCUCCUCGAGCUGAAGGAACAUCAGUUGCCCCUGAAGGAGCUGGGUGGUGUUUGAUGAUUCUGGAGACAGCACUUGUAACUUGUAACUGAGCAUGUCAGCUAGGAAGGAGGUAUCUGGUCAGAGAAGGUGUUUUCUGAGGCUGCUUCCUGGAUCCCUAGGGUUUGUGUUCCUGCCAUUCAGCCUAUUUGGCAGUUAUUUCCACCUGUACAAACAGACCCUUUGUCCCUUACAUGAGAAAGAAAGCCCACACCUGGAUUCAUAUUAAUAGAUAUUCAUCCAUCUAAGACUUAUUGAGCACCUACUGUGUGCCAGGCACUGCUCUGGGAACUGCAGCCACGUGAACAAAGCCAUGUAAAUAAAGCUGGGACAGAACACAGUUCAGCUUUGCCUUCUACUGACAGGUGGCAAGUCCUCAGAAUGUCCCCUGCCCAGGACAGGGCCGCAGCUGACCUCCCUCAUCAGGGGCUGCUGGCCCACUACCUGGCACCGCAAAGAGUAGCCCCCACAGGGCUGGCCUUUUUCUUUUACGAAGGACCCAGCCAUGUGAUGUCACUAUCCUCACACAAUCCUGUGGCCUGGCAUCAGUUUACAGAAGACAGUUUGGAUCAUCACAGGGCAGGACCUGGGGGAAAGGUCAUGUGUGGCCUCCUGGAUUCCCUUUAUCAGCCCUGUGCAGAGGAGCUCUCCGGACCAAGCCGCUUCUCUGUUUUUGUACCAGUCCCUGUAACAGGCUUCUGUGAGGUGGGAGCAGCUGAGGAUUGCAGUUUCCUUCAAGGCCUAAUGAGGUGAAAGGGGCCUGGGGGUGAUUCAGGAUAGCCACUGAGCAAGCCUGUAAGGCUAUUGGUCUGCCCAUUCUGGUUUCUUCACCAAUGAGAAAACUGGGACCUGGGGAGUUUGCAGAAGCCAUCCAAGGGCACCUGCUUCUCACAGCACAGCAGCUUCCUGCAGCCCUCCCUCCUGUCUUGUUUCUCCCUUAAUUGAGAGGAGAGGCCAGAACCAGAUGCAGGCAGUUCCAACAGUAAUGAAUUGCUCUAAGGUGUGGAUCCAAGAACCGGUGACAAGGUCAGGAAAUUCCAUCCCGGGACACUGACCCAACUAAGAGACUGUGCAUGAUGGCUAAGUUCAGAGCUCUGAGGAGAUGGUAAAACUCAUUUGCAACGAAACAAGAUAUUUUCCAACUCUGCAGCCAGUUUCUGAUUUGAAAGUGGCUGAUUUGGGGAAUGAGUUCUGAGCACUCUGUGGGUUAUUACUGUAGAAACCAUCCUCCUGGCUGUCUCACCAUCAGCGCCACCUCUCCGUGGGUCUGGAGUCUUGAGGAGCCAGGACUGGACUGGGAUGUAAGGUUGGGUCUUCCGAGCUGUAGAUGGGAGCAGGAAGAUGUAUCUCCAUUCACGAUCUCAGUACAAGGCUCAGCUAUCUCCCGGCAACUCGCCCAUCAUCUGUUUCUGAGUUCUUCUGACAUACAGGUGCAGAAAGCUGGAAGUGAUGCUCCAGGGAGUUUAUGUCUCCCCAUCUUGACCCACACCAAUACCUGAGGCUCGUUGCUUUGAUUCAAGUCCGGACAAGCUCUAAGGUUCAGCUCACACUGGGAGUCACGCUGCAGGAGCUCCUGGGAGUCUGUGAACGGUGGUGAUGCAGAAAAGCAAAGCGUGUAUAUCUGUUUUAGUCCUCCCUCAGAUCUGCUGAGGACACCUUGAGCCUGAAGUGAAAUCACAGUGGCUCUCAGGAAGAAGGGUGACUGUCUGGUGUGCAGUUGUGCUGCCACGGCAAAGGGAACUUUAAAACAUAGAACUGCCAUGUAGAAGCUCAGGAAAUAUCCAUGGUCUGUCAUCUCUUUUGGUCAUAGAAUCAAAAAAAAUGGAAGACGAGAAAAGGCAGUGAAGACUGACAGCCUGUUGGUUGCUAUUCCAGUCGUGUCUGCUCCAUACGCGCCCUCCAUCUCAUCCCACCCAGUCAGUAUAUUUUCACCAGGCAGUGUUGCAGAAAUGUCUGUGGACUCCAGUUCUAUUGCAGUCAGGCAGCAUUUACAGGUUUGACUUUCAACUGACCAUGGCAGGAAGUCUAGAGGCAAUUAUAGCCAACACCUGCUCUAUGUGCGUGCCGGGCAGGUGGUGGCUGAUUCCUUGCCUCCAAUCCAUGAUGUGUUUCCUAUCAGCUCAGAAUAAUAACAGUGACACCUCUGCUUCUUCUCUGUCUGGGGGAGCUCAAGGCACUUUACUCUGAAAACCCUCAAAUUACUGGCAUUUCUUUUAGUGAAGAUAUCAAAUUAAUGACUGAAAAAAAUGUAGAAGAUGGUUAUUGGUGAUGUUAAAAGACAAGUUUAACCCACUUCCACACAACAUGUCUUACAAGCGUAAAGUAUUUGAGUAGAGAAAACUAUGAAUCUAAAAUUGAACAAGAUGUGAAUUUAGACAGACAGCGUUUGUGGUCACAGAUGUGCCGAGAUGAAGACUGGAGGAAGGGCACAGUUUCUGUAGCAGUGACUUCCACCCAGGGUGUGUCUUGCUAUUGUGUGAAAUGAUUUUUGACACUGGACAAAUCUCUACUUCCACUUACAAUGUUUUGCCAGCUAGCUGAGGCAUUCUGGGAGGGUGAGGAGCCUGGGCUUGGGCUGACCUCAGGAAAUCCUGUGUAAAGGGCUUUUGCACACUCAGAAGCAGGCCAGGUUCACCGCUGUUAUGUGCAAUAUUCACUCCUGGCUCUUGCUUCUGAGCCUUGGCAAACCUGAGUCCUAAGAGGCCAAUGAAAAGGAAAACACGUUAAGGAGCCAGGGCGCUUCUUGGAUAUCAGCCUGAAUAGUUCUGUUUCAUCUGGACCCCAAUUUUACUCUCCUGCUGUUUUACACGGAACUAAAAAGAGCUUUACAGAGGACCAGAUAGACUGCAGGUCCCUAGGCAGUCAGGGGCCAGGCAAGGCAUAGGAGGGUGUCAGGCCUCUGAGCUCAAACUAGGCCAUCAUAUCCCCUGUGACCUGCACGUACACAUCCAGAUGGCUGGUUCCUGCCUUAACUGAUGGCAUUGUCUUGUGAAAUUCCUUCUCCUGGCUCAUCCUGGCUCAAGAGCUCCCCUACUGAGCACGUUGUGACCCCCACUCCUGCCUGCCAGAGAACAACCCCCCUUUGACUGUAAUUUUCCUUUACCUACCCAAAUCCUAUAAAAUGGCCCCACCCCUAUCUCCCUUCACUAACUCUCUUUUCGGACUCAGCCUGCCUGCACCCAGGUGAAAUAAACAGCCUUGUUGCUCACACAAAGCCUGUUUGGUGGUCUCUUCACAGGGACUCGCAUGAAAUUUGGUGCUGUGGCUCGGAUAGGGGGACCUCCCUCGGGAGAUCAAUCCCCUGUCCUCCUGCUCUUUGCUCCAUGAGAAAGAUCCACCUACGACCUCAGGUCCUCAGACCAAGCAGCCCAAGAAACAUCUCACCAAUUUCAAAUCUGGAAAGCAGCCUCUUUUUACUCUCUUCUCCAACCUCCCUCAAUAUCCCUCAACCUCUUUCUCUUUUCAAUCUUGGUGCCACACUUCAAUCUCUCCCUUCUCUUAAUUUCAAUUCGUUUCAUUUUCUGGUAGAGACAAAGGAGACACGUUUUAUCUGUGGACCCAAAACUCCGGCGCCGGUCACGGCCUGGGAAGGCAGCCUUCCCUUGGUGUUAAUCAUUGCAGGGAUGCCUCUCUGAUUAUUCACCCACGUUUCAGAGGUGUCGGACCACACAGGGACGCCUGCCUUGGUCCUUCACCCUUAGUGGCAAGUCCUGCUUUUCUGGGGGAGGGGCAAGAACCCCAACCCCUUCUCUCCAUGUCUCUACCUCUUCUCUGCUUUUCUGGGGGAGGGGCAAGAACCCCUCAACCCCUUCUCCUUCACCCUUAAUGGCAAGUCCCACUUUUCUGGGGGAGGGGCAAGAACCCCUCAACAUCUUGUCCUUCACUGUUAGCAGCAAGUCUCACUUUUCUGGGGGAGGGGCAAGAACCCCUCAAACCCUUGUCCUUCACCGUCAGCAGCAAGUCCCGCUUUUCUGGGAGAGGGGCAAGAACCUCUCAACCCCUUCUCCUUCACCCUUAGAGGCAAGUCCCGCUUUUCUGGGGGAGAGGCAAGAACCCCUUAUUUCCACAGCCCGACCUCUUAUCUCUGUGCCCUGAUCCCUUAUUUCUGUGCCCUGACCUCUUAUCUCUGCACCCCAACCCCUUAUUUCUGCACCCCCACCUCUUUCCCACUUUUCUGGAGGGUAAGAACCCCCGAACCCCUUCCCUCCAUGUCUCUACUCUCUCUUUUCUCUAGCCUUGCUUCCUUCACUAUGGGCAACCUUCCACCCUCCAUUCCUCCUUCUUCUCCCUUAGCCUGUGUUCUCAAGAACUUAAAACCUCUUCAACUCACACCUGACCUAAAACCUAAAUGCCUUAUUUUCUUCUGCAAUGCCGCUUGAUCCCAAUACAAACUUGGCAGUAGUUCCGAAUAGCCGGAAAACAGCACUUUCAAUUUUUCCAUCCUACAAGAUCUAAAUAAUUCUUGUCGUAAAAUAGGCAAACAGUCUGAGGUGCUGACGUCCAGGCAUUCUUUUACACAUUGGUCCCUCCCUAGUCUCUGUUCCCAAUGCAACUCGUCCCAAAUCUUCCUUCUUUCCCUCCCACCUGUCCCCUCAGUCCCAACCCCAAGUGUCGCUGAGUCUUUCUAAUCUUCCUUUUCUACAGACCCAUCUGACCUCUCCCCUCCUCUCCAGGCUGAGCUAGGUCCCAAUUCCUCCUCAGCUUCCGCUCCUCCACCCUGUAAUCCUUUUAUCACCUCGCCUCCUCACACCCAGUCCGGCUUACAGUUUCGUUCCUUGACUAGCCCUCCCCCACCUGCCCAGCAAUUUACUCUUAAAAAGGUGGAUGGAGCUAAAAGCAUAGUCAAGGUUAAUGCUCCUUUUUCUUUAUCCCAAAUCAGACAGCGUUUAGGCUCUUUUUCAUCAAAUAUAAAAAUCCAGCCCAGUUCAUGGCUCGUUUGGCAGCAACCCUGAAAUGCUUUACAGCCCUAGACCCUAAAAGGUCAAAAGGCCAUCUUAUUCUCAAUAUACAUUUUAUUACCCAAUCUGCUCCCGACAUUAAAUAAAACUUCAAAGAUUAAAUUCCAGCCCUCAAACCCCACAACAGGAUUUAAUUAACCUUGCCUUCAAGGUGUACAAUAAUAGAGUAGAGGCAGCCAAGUAGUAACAUAUUUCUGAGUUGCAAUUCCUUGUCUCCACCAUGAGACAAACCCCAGCCACAUCUCCAGCACACAAGAAUUUCCAAAUGCCUAAACCGCAGUGGCCAGGCAUUCCUCCAGCACCACCUCCCCCAGAAGCUUGCUACAAGUGCCAGAAAUCUGGCCACCAGGCCAAGGAAUGCCCGCAGCCCGGGAUUCCUCCUAAGCCAUGUCCCAUCUGUGGGGGACCCCACUGGAAAUCGGACUGUUCAACUCACCUGGCAGCCACUCCCAGAGCCCCUGGAACUCUGGCCCAAGGCUGUCUGACUGACUUCUUCCCAGAUCUUCUCGGCUUAGUGGCUGAAGACUGACAUGCCCGAUCGCCUCAGAAGCCCGAUAGACCAUCAUGGAUGCCGAGCUUUAGGUAACUCUCACAGUGGAGGGUAAGUCCGUCCCCUUCUUAAUCAAUAUGGAGGCUACCCACUCCACGUUACCUUCUUUUCAAGGGCCUGUUUCCAUUGUCUCCGUAACUGUUGUGGGUAUUGACAGCCAGGCUUCUAAACCUCUUAAACUCCCCAACUCUGGUGCCAACUUAGACAGUACUCUUUUAAGCACUCCUUUUUAGUUAUCCCCACCUGCCCAGUUCCCUUAUUAGGCCCAGACACUUUAAAUUAUCUGCUUCCCUGACUAUUCCUAGGCUACAGCCACACCUCAUUGCCACCCUUCUUCCCAAUCCAAAGCCUCUUUUGCGUCUUCCUCUUGUAUCCCCCCACCUUAACUCACAAGUAUAGGAUACCUCUACUCCCUCCUUGGUGACCGAUCAUGCACCCCUUACCAUCUCAUUAAAACCUAAUCACCCUUAUCUCCCUUCGCUGAAAGCCUAUAAACUCUCCUUACAAUUUCCCCAUUUUACCUGUCCAAAAACCAGACAAGCCUUACAAGUUAGUUCAGGAUCUGCGCCUUGUCAACCAAGUUGUUUUGCCUAUCCACUCUUUGGUGCCAAACCCAUAUACUCCCGUAUCCUCAAUACCUCCCUCUACAAUCCAUUAUUCUGUUCUGGAUCUCAAACAUGCUUUCUUUACUAUUCCUUUGCACCCUUCAUACCCAGCCUCUCUUCGCUUUCACUUGGACUGACCCUGACACCCAUUAGGCUCAGCAAAUUACCUAGGCUGUACUGCUGCAAGACUUCACAGACAGCCCCCAUUACUUCAGUCAAGCCCAAAUUUCAUCCUCAUCUGUUACCUAUCUUGGCAUAGUUCCCAUAAAAACACAUGACAUGGUCUCCCUGCUGAUCAUGUCAUCCCUACUAUCUUCUGUCUAGUCAAACUCCUAUUCACCAUUCUCAACUACUCAUACAUGCCCUGCUCUUGUUUACACUGCCGGUUUACACUGUUUCUCCAAGCCAUCACAGCUGAUAUUUCCUGGUGCUAUCCCCAAACUGCCACUCUUAACUCUUGAAGUAAAUAAAUAAUCUUUGCUGGUAGGACUAUGCUGAAUCUCCUUAGGCAGUCUCUAAUUAGAUGUCCUGGGUCCUCCCAAUUCUUAGACCUUUAAUACCUGUUUUUCUCCUUCUCUUAUUCCGUUUAGUUUUUCAAUUCAUACAAAACUGUAUCCAGGCCAUCACCAAUCAUUCUAAAUGACAAAUGUUUCUUCUAACAGUCCCACAAUAUCACCCCUUACCACAAAAUCUUCCUUCAACUUAAUCUCUCCCACUCUAGGUUCCCACGCCGCCCCUAAUCCCACUCAAAGCAGCCCUGAGAAACAUCGCCCAUUAUCUCUCCAUACCAUCCCCAAAAAUUUUCGCCACUCCAACACUUUACCACUAUUUCAUUUUAUUUUUCUUAUUAAUAUAAGAAGACACGACUUGACAGAGGGGAGAAGCGGCACACAGAGGCUCAUGUCUGGGAGGGUAACGCAUGUUUCUGAGGCUGGCUCAGCUGCGCAGUGGUGCUGUUAAGAGCCAGGGCUGGGAGGCACCAUUGUGGUUUCCCAUUGGCCAGGAAUCACAUGACUCUUGGACCCGGAAUUUAUGUUCCACGUGUCCCUGACUCUCAAAGUAAAAGUCAGGCUAAAAGUCUUUAAAAAUAAAGGAGAAACUUGGUUUGCAAAUCCACUCUCUGAUUCAGGCAUUUCAAAGGAAUUCCUGCCCAGACAUUUCAAUACUCAAAGCACGGCAGGGAAAGUGAGAGAUGCCAUGUUCCUCCUUGGCCUCUUUUCUGGCUUUCAUGGAUUUCCAAGGGGCCACCCUGAGCAAUGCCAUCUAGGUCAAGUUUAAAGAUGGGCUAGUUCUGAGGAGACGUGCUGUGUUUCCUUUCUUUGUAGGAAGGCUUGGCUUCUUACUCUGUGACAAAACACGGGGCACCAGGAGCCCUGAGCCUGCAUUUUUUCCUGUGGCCUUUGCUUUUCUCUGGAGAUGCACCUCUCACUGCACUCACUGUGGGCACUGAACUGUGAGUUCAGCUCAGUCCCUGAGACUGUUUUCCUUGCUAGCAAGAAACAUCUUCACAUUUCCUUAGAACCCUUCUGUGUCCUGGGGUCUCAUUUUCCAUUUUUCCAGCCUCAGUUCUCCUACUUGUGAUGGCUGGCAAACGCUGAUGCCUAUGGGGCCAGCAGGUUCGUAACUGAGGAUAGUGAAGGGUAGCAGGGAGUGGUGGGAACUGGGCCACCUGGUGAGUGCACACACUGCCUAAAUGGGAUCAGUCUGUUUCAAUGCUGCCAUUCAGGACUGUAGGCCAGUCUUGCAAGAAAUCUACAGUUUUAUGCAAAAUCAUUCAAUUACCCAUGAAAUGAAUUCAAGACCACCUAUAAUGAAUUCCAGUGGCUCACACCUGUAAUCCCAGGAGUUCAAGACCAGCCUGGGCAACAUAGGAAGACCCAGGGUGGUCUUGAGCUCCUGACGGGAAGCAAUCCUCCCUCCUCAGCUUUCCAAAGGGCUUUUGUUGGUAAUAAAACCAUAUAUAUAUAGAUAUAUUAGCUGGGUGUGGUGCAGUGCCCCUGUGGUCCCGGCUACUUGGCAGGCUGAGGUGGGAUUAUGGCUUGAGCCAGGGAGGUUGAGGUUGCAGUGAGCUGUAAUUGCACCAUUGCACUACAGACUGGGCAACUGAGUGAGACCCCAUCUUUAGGGAAAAUAUUUAACAUCAUGACAAAGGCACAGUUAGCCAAAGUACACAUUUGUCAGAUGCUCAGUUUUUAAUUUCUGCUUUGCAAAUUGGAGCAAUUGGAGGGUGUUUUAAAAAGGCAGGACAUGAUCCAAAUGGCCAUGGACAAGAUGAGCUAUCAGUAGGGGGACUGGCUAUGAAGCAGCCUCUGCAUCAUUCCAGGGACGAGAUGGUGAGGGCCAGAAAAUAAUGACAAAGAAGACCUGGAUUUUAGAAAUAUUUCUGAAAUAGAUUUCUUAGUCCUGUCAAAGAUGAACAAAGAUGAACGCUAAAGUGGUAAGGACAGAUUUUAAUCAGUAACAACUAUUGCAGCUGGGAAAAGAGCCCAGCAGAAAUUGAACUUAACUUUGAUUUGUGGAGGUCACUGGGCAUUUUAAAGUGAGAAUGGGCCAGGCUCAGUGCCUCACACCUGUAAUCACAGCACUUUGGGAGUGAAGUGGGAGGAUUGCUUGAAGCCAGGAGGUAAAGACCAGCCUGGGCAACAGAACAAGACCUUGUUUCAACAAAAAAUUUUAAAAAAUAGCUGUGUGUGGUGGCACCCACCUGCAGUCCCAGUUACUUGGGAGGCUGAGGUGGGUGUAUUGCCUGAUCCCAGGAAUUCAAGGCUAUAGUGAGUUAUGACUGCACCAUUGCACUCCAACCUGAGCAACAGAGCAAGACUCUGUCUGAGAAAAGGAUAACAUGAGAGAAUGAUGGGUUAGGGAGGGAAGGAGCAGGGGCUUGGCAGAGUUAGGGAAGUGAAACACUACAAAAGCAGGAAGUGGGGUGGUCCAUGUGAAACCCACCUGGGUUUACUAAUGUGUUCCUGUUGAAGUUAGACUCCCACCCCCACAGAGGCUGGGAGGCAGAGACCCUGUCUUCAGGUGUUGGCUGAAAGAAAUGGUAACUUAUUUUAGCAGCCUUGAGCUUUCUCAUGCGGGCACAUGAAGAGGACUAGUGUCAUCUUAGGGAAUGCGGCCUCGCACCAUUGGAAACAAUGUGAGUGUUUGUUCAAGUCUCUAUAGGUCAAGGCUGAAGCCCACCUGGAAAGGUCUCAGAGGAACCUGGAGGAAGUGUGGCCAUGGCGGGGUGGAGGGGGAGGAUCCUGACAGUCCUUAGAAAACUACUGAGUUUUUUGGUGGGAAAGAGCAACAGGUUGGGAACGACCCUGAUGUGCGGUCCUGUCCUGACCGUUGGCUCAUGCUUUCUCCCAGGGCCCUGACCCUUGCCUGUGGUCAGGCCUGCUGCCCCCUCCCUCACGCUGGUUCCCAUAGCCUUCCUGGUUCCUAUCAUGCAUUGCUGCUGUCACUCUGGAAGCAGCCACCAGCUCAUGCACUUCUUUUAAAGGGAAGAAAAUGGCUCUCUGCAACCGAGAGCAAGUAGUUUCAGGAUGAUGGAUCUGUGAUACUAUGGAAAGCAAAUCUGUUAUCUUCCAUGGUGCACAAAACAUGCUGUCACAGUGAUGACUCAUAAUAACCCUUCAGUUUCCUAAAUUGCUUUACUGCUGCUUUUUUAAUUAAGACCCAUUAACUUGUCAUAUAUUGAUAAAGGCAUGACCCUGAAAUAGGUGGAUAAAUUAGGACUCCCAUUCAUUCUGUGCUUUUAUAUGAACGUGUUAAUUAUUUUUGUCAUUAGGAAGAGUGAUGGAAGGAUGGAGAAGCACAAAACACAUUUUGACAAUGUGCUGGUGUUUGCAGCUGGAAACUUGGCGCAUGUCAGAUCCCAUCCUUCACCCUUUCACAGUUAGCACCAAGCGGCCAACCUAGAAUUUCUUGUGCUAAUAGUUCCCAUCACAGAGGCUACUAGAUGGCACAGAGGACCUACUAUUUUGUUUUAGCAGUUGCAUACUGGUAUUUAUAGGAAAACAGAUCUGGUGUUCAAAUGGAGCUUUGUUUAAAUGCAUAGUUGGCUCACACACUAAUUUUCUACAUAAAAUAAUUAUUGGGCUAGGUGCAAUGGCAAUGUAGCCAGGGGUCUGAGCCUUCACGUGAUGAUGAAUGCAAGUGUAGACAAUGUCAUACUGGAGCCCGGCUGGAAGCACCCUUUUCUUCACCAGCUGGCACCCAGGGUCCCUCCCCAUGUGAUGCCCUCCAGGAACCCUGGGGAGGGCAGUGUCCACACAUUUAAUCAUGACUGCCCUGGGGUCCCCUCUCACGGCCUCCCUCUCUCGUCUGUCUUUGGUGUGUGGUGGUGAGGGCCGGGAUUUCUCUCUGGUUUUAAGCGCCUCGUGAGGGAUGUGGACAUUCGGUGCCCUGAGGCUCAGAGGAUGGGGAGGCAGGGUCCUGCCUGUCCCAGUGAGGAGGGCAUGGCCUGGAGGCUUUCCCAGAAGUGGGGGUCCUGAAGAGAAGGAGCCAUGUGACCCUCCUCAAAACCCAACACCAAGUAGAACUCCACACUAGGCAGAUUUGUCUGUAACUGUUUUAUUUGUGGCAUGAAUUAGUUCUGUUUGGAAGUUGAGGACCUUGAUGUAUAAAAUCUCCCAGCUCUGCUGUGAAGGCCUUUGUGGAUUUCCUGAGUCCUGCAUGUGUCUGAGAGAGGGAGGGAGAGGGGACGCCUGUUUCUGCCCUGGAGAACGUGGCUGUGGGUGUACGUGUGUCUGUGUCUCUGAGCAAGGGUGGCUGCUCUAUGAACCCACGCUGAGUGUGUGUGACUGUGCUGCAUGUGUGAGUCUGUGUGAGGGUGUGUGGCUCUGCAUGUUGGAGAAUGGGUGUGUCCGUGUGUGUGGGAAUGUUUGUGGUGCUGUGCGAGUGUCUCCAGGUGGGAGUAUGAGGAUGGGUGUCCUUGUUUGCUGGAGAGCACUGGUGGAGGGUGUGUGUUUAAACUCCAGCUGGAAUCACAGCCCCUGCUGCCAGGCAGUGUCCCGGAGCUGCCCAGCCUGUGGGACAGAUGCCGAGAGCUGAUGAGUAGUGCAUAAACCAACAGUAGCUGAGUUCCGGCCUCCACGAGGCUUGGGGAUGGGAUGGAAAACUGAGCCUUCGGCUCAGAGGAUACCAGGAUUUUAGUGCUUUUUUAGGAAUAUAAAGGCAUGGAGGACAGGGAACUCAGAGAAGGGUAAUCCCUUAGGGUCCCCUCACGUCCACUGUGGGACUCUAUAGCCUCAGCUUCACCAUCCCCAAAUCUCCAGUCCUUCUAUUGCUUAGGGGCCUCCUUGAUUUGUUCAUUAGAUCUCCAGGCACCUGGUGAGAGGCUCUUGGCCCUGGGGUGUCAAUUCUGGCUCAAAGUCAAACUCAGCCCUACAGUUCCCAUCCCCUUUCAGGCUCUGGUGCUCUGACUCACUGAUGACAGCAGGCGGGAAGCAUCUUUGAGCCUGCCCUCCUCCCCUCUUACCCUCCCCACCUCCUUCCUUCCCCAACUCCUCCCCUCGCACCCUCCCCCCUCCCCCCUGCCCCUUUCCACUCUCCUCCCCUCCUCCCCUUCUACCCUCCACCCCUCCCACCCUCCUGUCCUUAGGCCCCUCAGCUGGACUGGAGGUGGGGCCUUGCGAGGCUCUUCAGUGUCUUCCCUACACUGCCUCCUCACUGGAGGCGAGAAGCUCUGCUUGACUGCCUCCCACACUGGCCCCAUUCCUUGCUUCCCUUUUGGUCAAUCACUGUGGUGGUGGGGGGUGGGGGGUGAGGGGUGUGAGUGUAGAGGAGGGCCUGGGAGGGGGAUUUAGGAGUUUGUCAGAGGUGGAAAGAUAACCUCAUGGUAUUAGCUUGCUAGGGCUGUAAUAACAAAGUGUCACAAACUAAACGGCUUCAACAUGAGAAAUCUAUCAUCUUGUGUCCUGAAAACCAGAAGUCAAAAAUCAAGGUGUUGGGAGGGCCGUGGCCAAUCUGAACUCUGCAGGGAACGCUUCCUGGCCUCCUCCUGGCUUCUUCCAGUUUGCAGGGAAUCUGUGCUGUUCCUUGGCUGGCAGCUGCAGGGCUCCAGUUUCUGCCGUCUUUAUCUCAUGGCUGUCCUUCCUGUGCCUCCAACUUCACGUGGCCAUCUUCUUUUUGCUUGUUUGUUUUUGAGACAGAGUCUUGCUCUGUUGCCUAGGCUAGGGUGCAGUGGCACGAUCUCAGCUCACUGCAACUUCUGCCUCCUCUCAAGUGAUUCUCCCACCUCAGCCUCCCUGGUCACUGGACCUACAGGUGCAUGCCACUAUGCCCAGCUAAUGUUUGUAUUUUUGGUAGGGACAGGGUCUCACCAUAUUGCCUAGGCUAGUCUUGAACUCCUGAGCUUAAGCAAUCUGCCUGCCUCGGCUUCCCUAAGUGCUGGGAUUACAGACAUGAGCCCCCAUGCCCGGCACAAGGUCAUCUUCUUAUAAGAACCCCAGUCAUUUUGGAUUAGGGCCCACCUUAUUCUAGUCUGACCUCAUCCUAACUAGUUACAUCUGCAAUGACCCUGUUCCCAACCAAAGGUGCACUCUGUGGCCCUAGGAGCUGAAAUCUCUACCGCAGGCAGAUGUCCUUAUACUGUGCUUUGCUGUAUUGGGUUUCACAGGUACUGUGUUUUUUACAAGUUAUGGCAACCCCACAUUGAGCAAGUCUUAUCGGUGCCAUUUCUCCAAAAGCAUAUGCUUACUUUCUUCCUCUGUGUCAGAAUUUUAGCAGUAUUUUUUUUGUUAAGGUAAGUACACUUUUUAGACCUAAUGGCAUUGCACAUUUAAUAGACUACGGUAUAGUGUAAACAUGACUUUUCUAUGAACUGGGAAACCAAAAAGUUUGCGUGACUCACUCUAUUUUGAUGGUCUGGAACUAAACUCGCAAUAUCACUGAGGUAUGCACAUAUCUUUUGGGGAGGACACAAUUCAGCCUGUAAUCAUCUCACAGUCAUCCCGUUAUUUACCCAGGAUCCAUGUUUUCAGAUAAAUCUCCAACCCCUCUCGCGUUUCCAGUUCUUUCUCUCACCCUGUUUAUUACCACAAUUAAUCACCAGCAGCACAACCUCACCUUCGCCGACCUCUCCACAGGAAAGAAAAUAAAAUAUUGAGGAGCAGCAAAGGAGUGAGACUGUGUAUUCAUGGCAGCAGUCCAAGUCUGCUCGGAUUAUCUGCACCCCCAAGAGGCAGUGUUGAGUCUGGAAUUGCAGGAAGUCAUCUGUUUCCAUGGAGAGGAAGAGGUGUUGCUGGCAGCCGGAAGACGUAGGUUCUAGUCUUGCAGGAUCCCAGACGCUAGGUUCCAGUACUCAAGUACUCAAUGCGCAGUUAGCCAAACACUGACACACCAGUGCUUAGGAGGAGAGAAAGGUUUAUUUGAUUCAACCAAAGUGUGAGAUUGGGAGAGGCAAACUCCAAUCUGACUUGUCUUUGAACACAACUGGGGCUUUGAUGUGUAAGGGAGGUAUGCAGGAGGUGAGAUUCCUGGUGACCGAAGCUGUUCGUGUCCCUCAGUCAAUCAAACUUCCAGAUACCAUUAAGGAGGUCUGCAUGACCUAAGGAUCAUUGUUCUUCUAAAGAAAAUCAAAGAUUACUCUUGCGACCAGCACCCAGGAGUCCAGCUAUGCAGUUAAUCAAUUAUGAGUGACUGCCCUCUAUUAAAAUGAGUACGUGCAAGUAAUCUGUGGAGGGAGAAAAGGACAAAGAGUAAGGAAGAUAAGUAAAAUAAACAAUUUUUAUGAUACAGAUCUGCUCCUAGUCUUAGCACCACCAUUCUGGUCUUAGCCUCAGAAAAAAAGAGAAAACUUCUCUUGACCCUAGUUGCUUCUGCCCAGUUCCUGGGAUUCACUGUGAUGGGAUAGCCUGGGUCACAUGCCCUCCCCUUCAGUAUGCAGAUGGCCAGGCUCCUUUUUGGAAUGUGGGCUGGAUCCCUUCUAAAGAGCAUGGUGGAGGGAAGUAGAGAGACAGCUACUAAGAAAUUCCUCCCUUCAGGGAGAAACGCGAAUGGAUGCGAGGUGGUGCAAAAUCCACAAAGGAGCUCCAGGGGACGUGGCAGGAUCCCUCUGCUAUGACUGUGCUGCAUAAGAGUCUGAGCCCACGCCAACCUAGAGUGAUUCUAAAGACCAUUUCCACAUGGAGAAGCUGCCAGAACAAGCACUGCUACCCUUGGAGGCCAUUGACAUUGUGAGGUCGCUGGGACUGAAAGGAGGUUGACCAGAAGUUCUGUUUGGCAAUGCAAAGCCAGGAGGAAAAGUUAAUGGAGUUUGUCCCCCGGGUCCCAAGAAAGCUGACCCAGGACGAUGAAGCUAGAAUUUGUGUUCUAGGAGGUGCUGCUUCUUCCAGGAAAGUCUACUCAAAGCACACACUGUGAGCUGCUGCAUGUCUCUUGAGCUAGUUCACUGCAGUUUUCAUGAUGAAAGUGAUCUGUUUCAGUAAACUUUCUGUUAUUUGAGAGCAUGGGAAAAAUAUUUGCUGUGAUUUCCCAAUUCCCCAUUUUUUCUGAUUCUUUGUUGCAGUUUCCACAACUUUGUUAUCAGGCUGUGACAGAGGUUUGUGAACUGAUGAAAGCUCCAGAGCCUCCCAGGCCCUCUGAGUCUGAUGCCUGCACUCCACAAUCAGGCCUCAAGCUCAGGGCGCCUGCCACCAACCCACGCUGGGCUUCAGGGGCAGGCAGCACUUGAAUGGGGUUUGGUUAUUGUCUUUCUUUAUUUUCUCUUAUUUUAAGCCUUAAAAAAAAAAAGAUAAGGUCUUGCUCUAUUGCCCAGGCUGGAGAGAAAUGGUGUGAUCAUAGCUCACUGCAGCUUUGAAUUCCUGGGUUCAACCGAUCCUCCCACCUAAGCCUCCCGAGUAACCAGGACUGCAAGUAUGCACCACCACACCCAGUUAAUUAAAUUUGUGUGUGUGUGUGUGUGUAGAGGUGGGUUCUUGCUUUGUUGCCCAGGCUGGUCUUGAACUCUUGAGUUCAGACAAUCCUGCCACCUCAACCUCACAAAGUGCUGGAAUUACAGGCGUGAGCCACUGCACUCAGCCUCCUUAAGCCAUUUGCUUAAGUGGCUUUAUUGCAAAACAAUAUCAGAAUAACAAAGAAAUAUAAGGUCAAACUUUCCCUGUUCCCAUCUAGUCCAAUAAGCAUUGCUGCUCUUGCCAGGGAUUCUCGCCCAUCUCCAUGUGCCAGUGCAAUCCAUACUGGUUGUUCUCCUUGGCUACCCCACAUCUGAGUCUCUGCCUUGUCUGCAUUCUUCCCCACUUUAUGAAGAGAUGAGUCAGUGCCUGAUUUUUUCUGCCUCUCUUGUCACUAGGGCACAGCCAUGUGCAUGGGCCCUGUCACUCAGAAGCCCCCAUCCACCAACAACAUGGCUCUGGGGGCCUCCUCUCUCUGGAAGAAUUGGCAGUUUUAGCAAGAAAGGUUUUCAGAGGCAGCAAUGAUGGUGGAGAUGUCCAGGGCCAGUGGCAGGUCAAACCAUUCUCUGUGUCAUUUGGGGCAGUGUUUAUGCUGUCCCUCAUUUUGGUUCCCUAAGCCUCCGAACAUGUACGUGAAUUUCCGAAUAUUCUCAAUUAAAUUGUUUUUCUGUUGAAAUUGGCCUGGUUGCUUUCAACUAUGACAAACCUAGCUAUAUAAGUAUUAUUUUGUAGUGUUGGGAUUGAUAGAACUUUAUGUUCUACACAUUAGCAGAAUACCAUGUGUAUUUUUCCAUUUGACAUAAUCUUUUAUCUUUCCAUUGAUAAGUAUUAUUACUAUUUAGUGAUAUAUUAUUUGAGUUCUCUUGCCCCUUUUGGGUAGCCCAUGUUAACAGUAAUACCCAGCUGCUACACUGAGAGCCUCUGAGACUUACUGGCUUCAGGGGAGACAGCACAUUAUCAGCUGUGGUGGCCAUGGCCGAGACUCCUUUUGCCUGAGAAAAGCAGAGGAAAAUGUAGAAGGGACUUCGUCUUGCAUCUGAGACACCAGCACAGCCACAGGGUGGUAGAGCACCAAGGGGGCUUUUGGAAUCUUUGAUUCUGGGAUGUGGCUCUUGGAAGGCAUUUCUGGACUUGCCCUGGGCCAGGGGGAGCCCACUGUCUUAAAGGGUGAGUCCCAGGCCAGGCAGCAUUUGCCACAGUCGACUGAAGAGCCCUGGGGGCCUUCAAGGGACAUAGAAGGUAAUCUGAAAGUACUCCGCAUAGGCCUGUGGGGUGGUGGCCAUGGGGCAAGGCUGCCCUGCCUCUGGAAAGGGUAGGAGAGAGUGAGAAAGACUGCAUCCUGUUGUCCGAGUGCCAGCUCAGCCACAGUACAAUAGAACACCAGCUAGGCUCCCAGCCAGCACCUCUGGACCAGCCUGGAAACUGGGGGUAACUCAUCGCCCUGAAGGGAAGGACAAAGGCCUGGCUGGCUUUGCCGUCUGCUGAUUGUUGAGCCCUAGGCGGGGAGCGGUUACAGUCGGCCUUGGGUGAGACUCAGAGCUGCACUGGCUUCAGGUCUGACUCAGCACAGUCACAGUGAUGGUGGCCACAGGGGUGCUUAUGUCACUCUAUCCCAGCUUUAGGUGGCUCAGAACAGACACACUCCAUUUCUUUGGGAGAAAGUAAGAAAGAGAACAAGAGUCUCUCUGAUAAUCCAGAGAGUUCUCCCAGAUCUUGUCCAAGAUCAUCAAGGCAAUACCACUGAGUCUGCAAAAACUGCAGUGUUACUGGGCUUGGGGUGCCCCCUAAAACAGAUACAACUUAGAUCACAACACCCAUGGCCUUUUAAAUAUGUGAAAAGCCUUCCCAAGAAGGACGGGUACAAACAAGCCCAGAUAGCAAAGGCUACAAUAAAUACCUAACUCUUCAAUUCCAGACACAAAUGGACACCUACAAGUAUCAAGACAUUCCAGGAAAAAAAUGACCUCACCAAAUGAACUAAAUAAAGCAUCAGGGACCCAUCCUGAAGAAACAGAUACGUGACCUUUUAGACAGAGAAUACAAAAUAGCCACUCUGAGGAAACUCAAAGAAAUUCAAGAUAACACAGAGAAGGAAUUCAGAAUUCUAUCAGAUAAAUUUAACAAAGAGAUUGAAAUCAUUCAAAAUGAUCAAACAGAUACUGUGGAGAUAAAAAAUGGAAUUGGCAUACUAAAGAAUGCAUCAGAGUCUUAAUAAUAGAAUUAAUCAAGUAGAAGAAAGAAUUAGCUUGAAGACAGGCUAUUUCAAAAUACACAGUUAGAGGACUCAAAAGAAAAUAGAAUAAAAAAUAAUGAAGCAUGUCAAAGAAUCUAGAAAAUAGCCUCAAAAGGACAAAUCUAAGAGUUAUUGGCCUUAAAGGGGAGACAAAGAAAGAGAUAAGGGUAGAAUGUUUAUUCAAAGGGAUAAUAACAGAGACUUUUCGAAACCCGGAUAAUAAUAUCAAUAUCCAAGUACAAGAAAACAGAACACCAAGCAGAUUAAAUCCAAAGAAGACUGCCUCAAGGCAUUUAAUAAUCAAAUUCUAAAGAUCAAGGGUAAAGAAAGGAUCCUAAAAGUAACAAGGGAGAAGAAACAGAUAACAUACAAUGGAUCUCCAGUAUGUCUUGCAGUGGACUUUUCAGUGGAAACCUUAAAGUCCAGGAGAGAGUGGCACAACACAUUUAAAGUGCUGAAAGAAAGAAACUUUUACCCUAGAAUAGUAUAUCCAGCAAAAAUAUUCUUCUAACAUGAAGAAAAAAUAAAGACUUUCCCAGGCAAACAAAAGCUGAGGGAUUUUAUCAGCACUAGACCUGUCUUAUGAGAAAUGCCAAAGGGAGUACUUCAAUCAGAAAGAAAAGGAUGUUAGUAAGUAAUCAUGCGAAAGUACAAAAUUCAUGGGUAAUAGUAAGCACACAGAAAAACACAGAAUUUUAUAUCCCUGUAACUGUGAUGUGUAAACUACUAUUAUUCUAAGUAGAAAAACUAAAUGAUGAACCAAUCAAAAAUAAUAACUAUAACAAUUUUUCAAGCCAUAGACAGUACUAUAAGAUAUAAAUAGAAACAACAAAAAGUUUAAAAUCAGGACAAAGUUAAGACGUAGAGUUUUUAUUAGUUUCCUUUUUUUUUGCUUCUUUGUUUCUUUGUUUAUGCAAACAAUGUUAAGUUGUUAUCAGCUUAAAGUAACAGGUCAUAAAGAAGCCAGUCAUGGUGUCUCACACUUGUAAUGCCAGCACUUUGAGAGUCCAAGGUGGGUGGAUCACUUGAGGUCAGAAGUUUGAGACCAGCCUGGCCAAUAUGGCGAAACCCCAUCGCUACUAAAAAUACAAAAAUUAGCCAGGUAUGGUGGCACAUGCCUGUAAUCCCAGCUACUCAGGAGGCUGAGGCAUGAGAACCCAGAAUGUGGAGGUUGAAGUAAGCCAAGAUCACACCACUGUACUCCAGCUUGGAUGACAGAGCAAGACUCUGUUUCAGAAGGAAAAAAAAAAGUCAUAAGAUAGUAUUUGCAAGCCUCAUAGUGACCUCAAACCAUAAAAACAUACAAUGAAUACACAAAAAGUAAAAAGCUAGAAACUAAAUCAUAUUACUAGAGAAAAAUCACUUUCACUAAAGGAAGGAAAGAAAGAAGGCAGAGAACAUCACAGAACAACUAGAAAACAAGUUAACACAAUGGCGGGAGUAAGUUCUUACUUAUCAAUAUUAACAUUGAUUGUAAAUAAGAACACCAAUAAAAUGAAAGAUUACAUCAAGUUAAAAAGUUAAAAAGCUUCUGCACAGCAAAGGAAACAGUCAAUAAAGUGGUAACCCCGCAGAGUGGGCAAAAAAUAUUUGCAAACUACCCAUGUGACAAGGGAUUAAUAACCAGAAUAUAUAAGGAGCUCAAACAACUCUAGAGAAAAACAAAUCUAAUAAUCUGAUCAAAAAAUAGGCAAGAUAUUUGAAUAGACAUUUCUCAAAAAAGACAUACAAAUGGCAAACAGUCAUAUGAAAAGGUGCUCAACAUCAUUGAUCAUCAGAACAAUGCAAAUAAAAACUACAAUGAAAUGUCAUCUCAUCCCUGUUAAAAUCGAUUGUAUCCAAAAGACAGGCAAAAACAAAUGCUGGUGAAAUGUGGAGAAAAGGGAACCCUCAUACACUGUUGGUGGGAAUGUAAGUUAGCCCAACCACUAUGAAUAGUGGUUUGAAGGUUCCUCAAAAAGCUAAAUAUGGAGCUACCAUAUGGUUCAGCCAUCCCACUGCUGGGUAUAGACCCAAAAGAAAGGAAAUCAGUAUAUUGAAGAGAUGUCUGCACUCCCGUGUUUGUUUCAGCACUGUUCACAGUAGCAAAGAUUUUGAAACAACCCAAGUGUCCCUCAAUAGAUGAAUAGAUAAACGAAAUGUGGUGCUUUUACACAAUGGAGUACUGUUCAGCCAUAAAAAUGAAUGAGAUCCUGUUCUUUACAACAACAUGGGUGGAAAUGAAGAUCAUUAUAUUAAGUGAUAUAAGCCAGACACAGAAAGACAAACAUUACAUCUUCUCAUGUACUUAUGGGAUCUGAAGAUCAAAAUAAUUGAACUCCAUGGACAUAGAGAGUAGAAGAAUGGUUACCAUAGGCUGGGAUUAGUAGUGGGACAGGUGGGGCAGGGGGCAGGUUAGGACAGGUAAUAGGUACAAAAAUAAUAGGAAGAAUGAAUAAGACCUACUAUUUGUUAGCAUAAAAUGGUACUUGUAAUCAAUUACACUUAAUUAUAUGUUUUAAAAUAACUCAAAGAGUAUAAUUGGAUUCUUUGUAACACAAAGAAUAAAUGUUUGAGGAGAUGGAUACCCUAUUCAGCAUGAUGUGUUAUUAUGCAUUGCAGGCCUGUAUCAAAGCAUUUCAAGUACGCUAUAGAUAUAUACACCUACUAUGUACUCACAAAAAUUAACAAAUUAAAAAAUUAAAGAAAACAGAGUGAGAAUGGGAUGGUGAGCAGGUGGUAUAAGGUAUAUGAUAUUGGUGUUCAGACUGUUAUCCAAAACCCUAAGAAUAGGCCAGGUGCGGUGGCUCACACCUGUAAUCCCAGCACUUUGCGAGGCUGAGGCGGGUAGAUCAUGUGGUGAGGAGUUCAAGACCAGCCUGGCCAAGAUGGUAAAACCCUGUCUCUAGUAAAAAUACAAAAAUUAGCCAGGCAUGGUGGUGGGCGCCUGUAAUCCCAGCUACUUAGGAGGCUGAGGCAGAGAAUUGCUUGAACCCAGGAGGCAGAGGUUGCAGUGAGCUGAGAUCAUGCCACUGCACUCCAGCCUGGGCAACAGAGCGAGACUCUGUCUCAAAAAAAAAAGGCAAAAAAAACAAAA